UUUCAUAUGAAAAAGGGAGAUCAUACACUUCAGCUAUAGAUAUAUGUUAAUAGUACAAAUACAAAUAUCUGUGCCAAACAACUUGAAGGAUUUUGGUUCACUGCACUAUAAAAACAACACAUUUUUGUGCUGAUCUUUUUUUCAUUCAUCAAAAAAUGAUGCAUUUAACGAGGAUCGUGAUUAAUUGUUUAUGAUAAAAUGUCAAUUCAGUAUUGUUAAAUUGCACUUUUUGUCUUUUCUUCACAGGCUGUGGAGGGGUGAGUUCCUUUUUUAUGUAUUUAAUGGUGACUUCAAUGUGUGACUAACAGCAUUCAAACAUGAAAGCUCAUCAUGCCCCCUCUAACAGAUGAACCUACAUGGAGCCGUAGACAAGGACCCGAUCCCAGAAUCGGAAUCCGAGUCAGACGGAGAUGGAGGAAGGUGUAAGAAGGGGGAGAGGAGACGCAGGGAAUGUGGAAAAGAUGACAGGGAGGAUUGGAGAGGAAAACAAGGUAAUCAUAGUGGUGAUGGCGGCUCAGGGGACGACGACGACGGCUCUGAAACGGACACCGAGUCAGACGGAAACGGAGGACGGCGUAAGAGGGAGGGGAGGAGACGAAGACGAAGGGGCGGCAAAAAAGGGGGAUGUGGAGGAAUGAAAGACGACCGGAGAGGGAAAGAUGGUAACCAUGGUGCUGAUGGUGAUGGUUGUGAUGAUUGUUAGAACUAAAUUAUAAAAAAAAUCUGUCAAUUUUCAGCUGUUAAUUUGAAUCUUUUUUUUUUUUGUCGUUCCAUCACAGGCUGCGAUAAGGUGAGUGACACACAACACGACGUAAAAUACCAAAAUCAAACAGAGCAUAUUAACAUGGUAACUUAUUAAGCGGUUUCAUUCACAUAACAAGGGCGGGAGAGGCGGCUCAGGGGACGACGACGGCUCUGAAACGGACACCGAUUCAGACGGAGUAAGUCAACUUUCAGCUACUUUCUGUUUUUUACAAAAUUCAAUCGCUCUACAGCCCAGUUGUGUGAAUAUUUAUCUUUUAUUGUUUUACAGAAAGGAGGACGGUGUAAGACGAAUAGAAGACGAAAAAGGGGCGGAGGGAAAUGUGGGAAAGGAAGAGACAGGGACAAUAAGGGAGGACAACGUGACGGUGGUGGUGGCCGUGACGGUGGUGGUGGUGGCUGUGGAAGCCGUGGCGGCC